AGUGCAGAGAGCGCUCCCCGCAGGUCGGUAUACAGGUGGUGCAUGGUUGUCGUCAGCUCGUGUCGUGAGAUGUUGGGUUAAGUCCCGCAACGAGCGCAACCCUUGAUCUUAGUUGCCAUCAUUAAGUUGGGCACUCUAAGGUGACUGCCGGUGACAAACCGGAGGAAGGUGGGGAUGACGUCAAAUCAUCAUGCCCCUUAUGACCUGGGCUACACACGUGCUACAAUGGACGGUACAAAGAGUCGCAAGACCGCGAGGUGGAGCUAAUCUCAUAAAACCGUUCUCAGUUCGGAUUGUAGGCUGCAACUCGCCUACAUGAAGCUGGAAUCGCUAGUAAUCGCGGAUCAGCAUGCCGCGGUGAAUACGUUCCCGGGCCUUGUACACACC
rnacentral:rRNA from 1 species